CUACGGGAGGCUGCAGUGGGGGAUAUUGCACAAUGGGCGAAAGCCUGACGCAGCAACGCCGCGUGAGGGAAGAAGGUCUUCGGAUUGUAAACCUUUGUCCUUGGUGACGAAACAAAUGACGGUAGCCAAGGAGGAAGCCACGGCUAACUACGUGCCAGCAGCCGCGGUAAUACGUAGGUGGCAAGCGUUGUCCGGAAUUACUGGGGGUAAAGGGAGCGCAGGCGGGAAAUCAAGUCAGACGUGAAAACCAUGGGCUCAACCCAUGACGUGCGUUUGAAACUGGUUUUCUUGAGUGAAGUAGAGGCAGGCGGAAUUCCGAGUGUAGCGGUGAAAUGCGUAGAUAUUCGGAGGAACACCAGUGGCGAAGGCGGCCUGCUGGGCUUUUACUGACGCUGAGGCUCGAAAGUGUGGGGAGCAAACAGGAUUAGAUACCCUCGUAGUC
rnacentral:rRNA from 1 species